rnacentral:lncRNA from 1 species
ACAAAAGAUUAGUGGGAGUUAAUCAUGUUCCUAAAUUUGAAUAUAUAUAUAUGAUGUAUAUUAAUUUGGGAAAUGAAAAGAAUACUUCUUCGUUAAAGUUAUGACUUUAAAACAUUAUAUGAAGAUAGAAUGUAUAUGGGCGACAUAGUCUAUAUACAUGGGAUGGAAAUCUAUAUUGAUAGAUUUUAGGAUAUAAUUGGAUUAUAUCAAGCCCUAAAUAUAGACAAAAGAUGAUAGGAAGUUUCUCAUAUGAUGAUGAACUUCAAUAAAAAAGGACAACUCUAGUGAGACUAAGAAGUUGCUCUUCUCAAAGAGAACGUACUCUUUGACUCCCAAAGAAAUAAUGCAUAAAUAGAAUCCUUUAUGCAUACGCAAAAAGGUGAUUU